rnacentral:sRNA from 1 species
ACAAUAUAACAGUAUUUCAGUGCGUACAU